rnacentral:rRNA from 1 species
AACGAACGCUGGCGGCAUGCCUAACACAUGCAAGUCGAACGAGAUCUUCGGGUCUAGUGGCGCACGGGUGCGUAACGCGUGGGAAUCUGCCCUUUGGUUCGGAAUAACAGUUGGAAACGACUGCUAAUACCGGAUGAUGACGAAAGUCCAAAGAUUUAUCGCCAGAGGAUGAGCCCGCGUAGGAUUAGCUAGUUGGUGUGGUAAAGGCGCACCAAGGCGACGAUCCUUAGCUGGUCUGAGAGGAUGAUCAGCCACACUGGGACUGAGACACGGCCCAGACCCCUACGGGAGGCAGCAGUGGGGAAUAUUGGACAAUGGGCAAAAGCCUGAUCCAGCAAUGCCGCGUGAGUGAUGAAGGCCUUAGGGUUGUAAAGCUCUUUUACCCGGGAUGAUAAUGACAGUACCGGGAGAAUAAGCUCCGGCUAACUCCGUGCCAGCCGCCGCAGUAAGAC